GCCAGCGCAUAUAUAGGAUGCAUCGAGUACUUGGUUAAAGUUUCUGCAACGCUCUUUAGGAAAUUCAUAAAGACCUAUAUCAUUCCGUGCAUCACUGUGGACAAUUUUCAUAUCCACAUCUACAUUAAAUGCCCUGGGCUUGCAAACGUAAUUGUCACAGAUGGGCAUGGGAUGCUGGAUGUCGUAUUCGCCCAGCCGCACAUUCCUGAAAAAAGUUUAUUCGAGAAUCACAUGAGUGAGAAAUAGUACAGUAUGCACUCACAUAAAAUCUUUUGAAAUGCAAUGCGCUGCCGUCAAAACAAAUCCUGCACGAACAUAGCACAAUAUGAGUGUAUAUUUCCGACUAUCAAUCUGCAGUACUUACGAGAAGUGAUGAGUGAACCGCCACAUUGUGAUUUAUUCAUGACCAUUACGCUGACCAUCCAAGGAUGCGCGAAUAUGCCUGCAUCACUACCAUCAAUCAUUGGGUGAAUCAUAUUAUCCUUGGUGGUUCCACAGUCGUUUUCCAGUAGAAGACUGGAUACCUCUUGAAUCCCAAUGAAAAGACAGACUACUAGCACCAACUGACACAUGACUAGCCGCAUCUUGCGAGACUAAAUAAAAAUAUGAUUGGGAUGAUCCACGCA